GAGUUUGAUCAUGGCUCAGAUUGAACGCUGGCGGCAGGCCUAACACAUGCAAGUCGAGCGGUAGAGAGAAGCUUGCUUCUCUUGAGAGCGGCGGACGGGUGAGUAAUGCCUAGGAAUCUGCCUGGUAGUGGGGGAUAACGCUCGGAAACGGACGCUAAUACCGCAUACGUCCUACGGGAGAAAGCAGGGGACCUUCGGGCCUUGCGCUAUCAGAUGAGCCUAGGUCGGAUUAGCUAGUUGGUGAGGUAAUGGCUCACCAAGGCGACGAUCCGUAACUGGUCUGAGAGGAUGAUCAGUCACACUGGAGCUGAGACACGGUCCAGACUCCUACGGGAGGCAGCAGUGGGGAUAUUGGACAAUGGGCGAAAGCCUCGAUCCAGCCAUGCCGCGUGUGUGAAGAAGGUCUUCGGAUUGUAAAGCACUUUAAGUUGGGAGGAAGGGCAGUAGAUUAAUACUUUG
rnacentral:rRNA from 1 species